rnacentral:misc_RNA from 1 species
AGUGGAACUGUGUUAUCCCUUAUCACGUCUUAUUAGGCUUGACAAGUUCUUGCAGUUGACUUUCGUUUUUUACUAUGAUGUAAGGCGAAUUACUAUCCUUUCUUAUCAUGACCCGGCUAUUUGAGGUCCAACAAUCAUCGGAAGCAGUCUCACCUGACGGUCUACGUCGUUUAGUACGUUGAGAAAUAUUCCCUGAGGAGAAGUCCGAAAACGGAUGUUGCGAUUCAUCGAAACAAGACUUGCGUAAAUCAGAAUCCGAACGAGAAGGCGAUUUAUUCACUGCUGUCAUCUUCGGCGGUGUUUUAUACAUAACAAAAAUUAAAACGAAGGGCACGAUACGUAGAAAAGGAUAGCUAUUAUCUAUUAUGCAGUUGCGACCAAUGUCACACGUUUUGCGUAAGCGCAGACUCCUCCUGCUGGUACCGCCCAACACCACUGGUAACGCCCAAUGAAACAUUACUACCCAACACCUCAACGCUUGUUAAAAAUGGGUGGGAAGCAUAGCCUCGAAGAAAACCAAUCGUGUCCUUAGUAGGUAGGUGAAUAAUUAGAGCUGUUAUUGCUCACCACUUCGGCUAUGCUGCUAUCCUGGUACUCGUCGAAUAUUGAAC